rnacentral:lncRNA from 1 species
GGAUCCCACUGCUGGUCCACCACGUACCACUCCAUUGCAGUUUAUAUGACCUUUUCAGAAAACACUGAACCAUUCCUCUGGAGCUUAAAACUCUGUGGUGCUGUUAUCUCACCUGAAACAGCCUUGAGUUAGGUCAACUCCUGGCUGAAUUCAGCUAAACCAAAGCGCAAUUCUAAAUUCAGUAAAAAUAUAUGCAUUUGUUCUCUGCAUCCAGAGAGAAGCCUCUGCAGCAGUAAUGGGCAGUGUCCCUCCUGCCCUGGCACAGAUUGCCCCAUAGGGCUGCGGGGUGCCCAGAGGGGAGGAACAAAGGAAGCCGAAUAGCCCUGAAAGUCAACAGGAGAAAACUUUAUUGCCAGAUCCAAACUAGAAGGCAUCGAACGCCCACUCGCCCCACGCAUCAGCUGACAAAAGCCAGCACAGCAUCCCUGGCCCACACACCUCUUUCCACCAAAGCUCGGGGCCGUGAGAAGAUGUCAUCCCCACACCCAGGGCCUCAUGGAGGGCCGCCGCCGCCACAUCCCGGGCCUGGGCACCCACCCGCACCGCACAGUCCUCCAGGGCAUCACCACCCACCCGGCCAUCACCCGCCCGGCCAUCACCCGCCCGGCCAUCACCCACCCGGCCAUCACCCACCCGGCCAUCACCCACCCGGGCACCACCCGCCGGGCCCCCACCCCCACGGCCACCCCCACUAGGCGCUGAGCCCUGGCGGCGGCCGCCCCUGGCACGGGUCCGUCUCUGUCCAUCGGCUACCCCGCGGCGGCGCUGCCGCCGGGGUCUCCCUCCGCCCACGUGUGGCAGCACCUCUGCCGGAAACAGAAGCUUGGGCUUGGGUUGAGGUCAGCAAUAAAAGUCCGCUCGGGG